CAGGAAACUUCAUGUUCAGUCAAAAUUAUUACAAAGUUCACCUGGAAGUUUUCUUCUCUCUGUGGUGUUUCCUCAAUUACACUGGCAGCCCUCCCCAAAGACCUGGGAGACAAACUCAGAAACUGCUUCCCUGGGGACCGAGAGUGCCCACAGGGCUCUUCCCACUGCUUCCUCUCCCUGCAUUUUUUGCUCAGCUUUCAAAUUCUGGUUCAGCCCCAGAGCCAGACCUUGAUUUCAUGCGAGAAGGUGGAGUAGGAGGAAGAGAAGGAGGAGAGUUAGAAGGAGUAGGAGGAGGAGGAAAACCUCCUGCAGGCUCGUCUGAGUAUAUUCCUAGGUGAUGGCAGAGGGGCAAGAAAGCAAGCAAAAAGAAGCACAGAAGCCCUCUCAUGGCCAAAACUGGCUUGGUGUCACUUUUACCUCAUUCUAUUGGUCAAAAAAAGUCAACAGGCUGAGCCCAGAGUCAGAGUGGGAGAGUACUGCAUGGUUACAUGACAGAGGAUGUGGAUAUGAGGAAUCGUGAAGAACUGCAUCCAUUAGAGCCAUCUGUCACAGAAGGGACUAUUGUCAUUUUACUAAUUUUGUACAUGAGGAUAGGGAAGCAUGGAGAUGGUAACAUGCCUAAAGUCACAUAGCUUCUUAGCUGUGGAACCAGAAAGUAAACCUGGGCCUUCUGGGCCCAGGGCCCGUGGCUGUUAAAACCACUGUGCACACUGCCUUACUCCUACCCUUCACAAUCAGGUUUCUGCUCUGACCACCCUAGAAAACAUGCCCGUCUCAGGUUACCGAUGCUCUCCUAUGGACAGAUCCAAUAGCCUUUGUUAAUUGUCCACAUCUCUAUCCAUUCUGUAAUACUCCUGCAUGCUGCAUCCUUGGAGUUCUUUUCUCCUUUGAUUCUGCAGAACCUGUACUGUUUUGUUUCUCUUUCUGGCUUCCUCUGUCUGUCUCUCUUCACCAACUACAUAAUGCAUUCACUUCUUUUUCUUGGCAUCUCCCUUUCCAAGCACACCCACUCUCCUGGUUUCCAUUAUCUCCCUGCAGACAACUCUCAACUGGCUCUAAGAAAGCUCACUAUAAUUUUCAGCAACCUAAUUCAGUCGUUUGUCCGUCACAAAUAACAGCUCAGGAAAAUCAAAGGAUUUUCUCACUAGCAUCUUAUCAUUCCAUGUCACCUAGCAACUAUCCCAGUGCUUGAUAUUCUGCUACUAGAAACUCCCUACUACACAGAUAAUACCACUGGAAGGUAUAAAGCCACUUGACUGACCUCUCUCCAUUCACAGCAUUUAUAACUGUAAGAAAUUGCCAGUGGUUGACUCUUUCCGACCUUCGAAAGUGGCAAUUUCAUGUGGUUCAGCUUAAUAGUAUUUAUUACCUUGUGCUGUAAUAAUUUUGUAUCUGUAUCUCCCAUGAGACUCAAAGCUGCUUGAUUGAGGAGAUCAUGCUUGCUUCUGCUUUUCAUCAAGUUGCCUAGUACAUGACACUCUGUAAGGAUUAGACCAAGUAGGUAUUGAAUAAUUGUUUGGCGAAUUUAAAAAAUUAAAGAAACAUUUGAAAUCAAUGCACCAGAGGCUAGAGACAGAGUGCUAGGAAGGGAACAGGAUGGGGACAGGGACACCAGAGCAAAGAUAGAGUCAAAGACACAUUUCCAAAAUGGCAAUUCAUGCCUUGUGUCAGUUGUACCCACCUCACAUUCUUUAACACUUAAGGUUUUUCUGGGUAGUAAGUGCAAUACAUUCUUAUUAUAAAACAAUAUAGACAGUUCAGUAUGUAUAAAUGAGGAUAAAAUCAAAAUCACCCACAAUCUCACCACUUUGUGAUAAUAACCAUUAACUUCAAUAUUGAUGAAUUUCCUUGAAUGUUUUAUCUACAAUAUUUCUUUCAUAUAGUUGAUAUCACUCUGUAUGCACAAACUUGUAUCCU
rnacentral:lncRNA from 1 species